rnacentral:rRNA from 1 species
GAUGAACGCUGGCGGCGUGCCUAAUACAUGCAAGUCGAACGCACAGCGAAAGGUGCUUGCAUCUUUCAAGUGAGUGGCGAACGGGUGAGUAACACGUGGAUAACCUACCUCAAGGUUGGGGAUAACAUUUGGAAACAGAUGCUAAUACCGAAUAAAACUUCGUAUCGCAUGAUACAAGGUUAAAAGGCGCUACGGCGUCACCUAGAGAUGGAUCCGCGGUGCAUUAGUUAGUUGGUGGGUAAAGGCCUACCAAGACAAUGAUGCAUAAGCCGAGUUGAGAGACUGAUCGGCCACAUUGGGACUGAGACACGGCCC